rnacentral:rRNA from 1 species
GACGAACGCUGGCGGCGUGCCUAAUACAUGCAAGUUGAGCGCUGAAGGUUGGUACUUGUACCAACUGGAUGAGCAGCGAACGGGUGAGUAACGCGUGGGGAAUCUGCCUUUGAGCGGGGGACAACAUUUGGAAACGAAUGCUAAUACCGCAUAAAAACUUUAAACACAAGUUUUAAGUUUGAAAGAUGCAAUUGCAUCACUCAAAGAUGAUCCCGCGUUGUAUUAGCUAGUUGGUGAGGUAAAGGCUCACCAAGGCGAUGAUACAUAGCCGACCUGAGAGGGUGAUCGGCCACAUUGGGACUGAGACACGGCCCAAACUCCUACGGGAGGCAGCAGUAGGGAAUCUUCGGCAAUGGACGAAAGUCUGACCGAGCAACGCCGCGUGAGUAAAGAAGGUUUUCGGAUCGUAAAACUCUGUUGGUAGAGAAGAACGUUGGUGAGAGUGGAAAGCUCAUCAAGUGACGGUAACUACCCAGAAAGGGACGGCUAACUACGUG